rfam:Schistosoma rodhaini strain Burundi genome assembly, scaffold: SROB_scaffold0004363
AUCCAGCUGACGAGUCGAAAAUAGGGCGAAACAUGCCUCCUGGAU